AUUGAACGCUGGCGGCAGGCUUAACACAUGCAAGUCGAACGGUAACAGGAAGAAAGCUUGCUUUCUUUGCUGACGAGUGGCGGACGGGUGAGUAAUGCUUGGGAAUCUGUUUCAUGGAGGGGGAUAACUACGGGAAACUGUAGCUAAUACCGCGUAAUAUCGAGAGAUUAAAUGUGUGGGACCGUAAGGCCACAUGCCAUGAAGUGAGCCCAAGUGGGAUUAGAUAGUUGGUGAGGUAAUGGCUCACCAAGUCGGCGAUCUCUAGCUGGUCUGAGAGGAUGACCAGCCACACUGGGACUGAGACACGGCCCAGACUCCUACGGGAGGCAGCAGUGGGGAAUAUUGCACAAUGGGCGCAAGCCUGAUGCAGCCAUGCCGCGUGAAUGAAGAAGGCUUUCGGGUUGUAAAGUUCUUUCAUUAGUGAGAAAGGUAUAAAUGUUAAUAGCAUUUGUAAUUGAUGUUAGCUAAAGAAGAAGCACCGGCUAACUCCGUGCCAGCAGCCGCGGUAAUACGGAGGGUGCGAGCGUUAAUCGGAAUAACUGGGCGUAAAGGGCAUGCAGGCGGUUACUUAAGUCAGAUGUGAAAGCCCCGAGCUUAACUUGGGAAUUGCAUUUGAAACUGGGUGACUAGAGUCCUCUAGGGAGGGGUAGAAUUCCACGUGUAGCGGUGAAAUGCGUAGAGAUGUGGAGGAAUACCGAAGGCGAAGGCAGCCCCUUGGAGAGAGACUGACGCUCAUAUGCGAAAGCGUGGGUAGCAAACAGG
rnacentral:rRNA from 1 species